AUGCCGUCGUGGCCCAACAGCAACGAGACCUCUGACGAUGAUGACGAGUACAUGAGCGAGUUCACUAGCAUGAAUAUGGAGUAUUUUCAAACUCCAGAUACUGUGAUAGAUCCAAACUUUUCUGGGCUUGUGACUGAAUCUAACCGUAGGUGCAUCCUGCACAGGGAGAGGGCUGGCAAAUUUGUGGCAUUUGAAGGCACUGACACUGGCAGGAGAUUCAUAGGAUGUGCAACUGAGGAUGGUGUGAACUGUGGUGUUUUAGAGUGGGUAGAUGCCCCUUGGCCUGUGAUUUUGCAAAGAUGCUUAACCAAGCUCUGGGAUAUGUAUCAUGAGAAGAACCUUGGUAGAGUGCAAGACAAAGAGGCUCAUGAGAUAGAGGUUGAGAAAUUGAAGAAGGAGCUGGAUUCUCUUGGCAAUCAGUACAGUCAGCUUGUGGAUGAUGUAUCCAAGCUGCUUGAUUACCAGGAUGGGCAGAAAUCCCAUGACAUGGAUUACACAAUCCAGACAAUCAAUGAACUUAAGGAGAAGAAGCAUCAGCUUGAGGAGCGGGCAAAGAUUGAGAUUCAAAUGGAGAAGCUUAAGCUCAAGAAAGAACAAAGGUGCAUCCUGUAG
rnacentral:rRNA from 1 species